AUAAGCAUAUAAGUGGAUUUUCCAGGAUUCUCGGGAGCAGGAGAAGUGUGUGAGGAAAGUCUUCUUAGAUAAGUUUUCUUCGUAUUCCCUGUUCUUUCAUAUAUCGCAUUGUUCAAUAUAUCUGUUAUGUUUGGGUAUGAUUUGUUGACUUGAUCUACGCAUUAUUGAAUUCAUUUCGAAUAUGUUCAUUAUGUUUUGGUUUGUGCGCUUUACGUUUCAUUUUUUAUUUCUCAUUUCUUUCUUUGUGGGUGAGAAUAGUGUAAUUUCCUUUUCUGGUCUUUUCAUGUGAUCUCGGCUUCUUUGGCAAGCAUUUCUAAGCAUAUCACUGGAUUUUUCAGGUUUCUUGGAAGCAAGAGAAGUUUAUGAGGAAGUACUUCUUAUCUAAGUUUACUUCGUAUUCCCUUUUGUCUGCUAUAUCGCAAUUUUCAUUAUCUUUGUUAUGUGUUGGCAUUAUUUGUUGAUUUGUGUUAUUUUUUGUGCGCAUUUGUGUUUUGUUUUUUGUUUGUGAUUUCUUUGAUUUUGGGUGAGAAGAACGGGAUUUCCUUUUGGUAGCAUUUUGCCAUGGAAUGUUAUUGUCCUUUUCUCGUCUUUUCAUUUAAUGUCGGUUUCUUUGCCGACAAUUUAUAACGGUAUAAAUUCAUAUUUUCAGGUUAAUCGGGACGAGGGGAAGUGCAUGAAGAAGUACUUGUUUGGUAAGUUUCAUUCGAAUUCUCCCAUAUCACAUCGUUCGUUAUGUCCGUUAUGUUGGAGUAUUAUCUUUUGACUUUAUGUAAGCGUUAUAGAAUAUACUUAGAAUAUUUUGAUCUCUGUGUUUGGUUGUGGAUUUUAUGUAUGGCUUUUUAUUUGUCAUUUAUUUGAUUGUUUGAUAGAAGUAUUUGAUUUCCUUUGAACUGUGUUUUUCCAUGGGAUGUUAUUUUGAUUUUCUCGUCUUUUCAUCUGAUCUCGGUGUCUUGUCCCACCAUUAAUAAGCAUAUAAGUAGAUUUUUCAGGAUUCUUGGGAGCAGGAGAAGUGUGUGAAGAUAGUCUUCUUAGAUAAGUUUUCUCCGUAUUCCCUGUUCUUUCAUAUAUCGGAUUGUUCAAUAUAUUUGUUAUGUUUGGGUAUGAUUUGUUGACUUGAUCUAUGCAUUAUUGAAUUAAGUUCGAAUAUGUUCAUUAUGUUUUGGUUUGUGCGCUUUACGUUUCAUUUUUUAUUUCUCAUUUCUUUCUUUGUGGGUGAGAAUAGUGUAAUUUCCUUUUCUGGUCUUUUCAUGUGAUCUCGGCUUCUUUGGCAAGCAUUUCUAAGCAUAUCACUGGAUUUUUCAGGUUUCUUGGAAGCAAGAGAAGUUUAUGAGGAAGUACUUCUUAUCUAAGUUUACUUCGUAUUCCCUUUUGUCUGCUAUAUCGCAAUUUUCAUUAUCUUUGUUAUGUGUUGGCAUUAUUUGUUGAUUUGUGUUAUUUUUUGUGUUUUUUGUGUUUUGUUUUUUGUUUGUGAUUUCUUUGAUUUUGGGUGAGAAAACUCGAUUUCCUUUUAGUAGCAUUUUGCCAUGGAAUGUUAUUGUCCUUUUCUCGUCUUUUCAUUUAAUGUCGGUUUCUUUGCCCACAAUUUAUAACCGUAUAACUUCAUUUUUUCAGGUUAAUCGGGACCGAGUGAAGUGUAUGAAGAAGUACUUUUUUGGUAAGUUUCAUUCGAAUUCUCCCAUAUCACAUCGUUCGUUAUGUCCGUUAUGUUUGGGUAUUAUUUGUUGACUUUAUGUAAGCGUUAUAGAAUUUACUUCGAAUAUUUUGAUCUCUGUGUUUGGUUGUGGGUUUUAUGUGUGGCUUUUUAUUUGUCAUUUAUUUGAUUGUUUGAUAGAAGUAUUUGAUUUCCUUUGAACUGUGUUUUUCCAUGGGAUGUUAUUUUGAUUUUCUCGUCUUUUCAUCUGAUCUCGGUGUCUUGUCCCACAAUUAAUAAGCAUAUAAGUGGAUUUUUCAGGAUUCUUGAGAGCAGGAGAAGUGUGUGAGGAUAGUCUUCUUAGAUAAGUUUUCUCCGUAUUCCCUGUUCUUUCAUAUAUCGCAUUGUUCAAUAUAUCUGUUAUGUUUGGGUGUGAUUUGUUGACUUGAUAUAUGCAUUAUUGAAUUAAGUUCGAAUAUGUUCAUUGUGUUUUGGUUUGUGCACUUUACGUUUCAUUUUUUAUUUCUCCUUUCUUUCUUUGUGGGUGAGAAUAGUGUAAUUUCCUUUCCUAGUCUUUUCAUGUGAUCUCGACUUCUUUGGCAAGCAUUUCUAAGCAUAUCACUGGAUUUUCAGGUUUCUCAGAAGCAAGAGAAGUUUAUGAGGAAGUACUUCUUAUCUAAGUGUAAUUCGUCUUCCCUUUUGUCUGCUAUAUCGCAAUUUUCAUUAUCUCUGUUAUGUGUUGGUAUUAUUUGUUGAUUUGUGUUUUUUGUGUUUUUUGUGUUUUGUUUUUUGUUUGUGAUUUCUUUGAUUUUGGUUGAGAAGAACGGGAUUUCCUUUUGGUAGCAUUUUGCCAUGGAAUGUUAUUGUCCUUUUCUCGUCUUUUCAUUUAAUGUCGGUUUCUUUGCCGACAAUUUAUAACGGUAUAAAUUCAUAUUUUCAGGUUAAUCGGGACGAGGGGAAGUGCAUGAAGAAGUACUUGUUUGGUAAGUUUCAUUCGAAUUCUACCAUAUCACAUCGUUCGUUAUGUCCGUUAUGUUGGAGUAUUAUCUUUUGACUUUAUGUAAGCGUUAUAGAAUUUACUUAGAAUAUUUUGAUCUCUGUGUUUGGUUGUGGGUUUUAUGUGUGGCUUUUUAUUUGUCAUUUAUUUGAUUGUUUGAUAGAAGUAUUUGAUUUCCUGUGGACUGUGUUUUUCCAUGGGAUGUUAUUUUGAUUUUCUCGUCUUUUCAUCUGAUCUCGGUGUCUUGUCCCACCAUUAAUAAGCAUAGAAGUGGAUUUUUCAGGAUUCUCGGGAGCAAUAGAAGUGUGUGAGGAAAGUCUUCUGAGCUAAGUUCUUUUUGUAUUCCCUGUUCUUUCAUAUAUCGCAUUGUUCAAUAUAUUUGUUAUGUUUGGGUACGAUUUGUUGACUUGAUCUAUGCAUUAUUGAAUUAAGUUCGAAUAUGUUCAUUAUGUUUUGGUUUGUGCGCUUUACGUUUCUUUUUUUAUUUCUCAUUUCUUUCUUUGUGGGUGAGAAUAAUGUAAUUUCCAUUUCUUGUCUUUUCAUGUGAUCUCCGCUUCUUUGGCAAGCAUUUCUAAGCAUAUCACUGGAUUUUUCAGGUUUCUCAGAAGCAAGAGAAGCUUAUGAGCAAGUACUUCUUAUCUAAGUUUACUUCGUAUUCCCUUUUGUCUGCUAUAUCGCAAUUUUCAUUAUCUCUGUUAUGUGUUGGUAUUAUUUGUUGAUUUGUGUAAUUUUUUGUGCGCAUUUGUGUUUUGUUUUUUGUUUGUGAUUUCUUUGAUUUUGGGUGAGAAGGACUCGAUUUCCUUUUGGUAGCAUUUUGCCAUGGAAUGUUAUUGUCCUUUUCUCGUCUUUUCAUUUAAUGUCGGUUUCUUUGCCCACAAUUUAUAACCGUAUAACUUCAUUUUUUCAGGUUAAUCGGGACUAGGUGAAGUGUAUGAAGAAGUACUUUUUUGGUAAGUUUCAUUCGAAUUCUCCCAUAUCACAUCGUUCGUUAUGUCCGUUAUGUUUGGGUCUUAUUUGUUGACUUUAUGUAAGCGUUAUAGAAUUUACUUAGAAUAUUUUGUUCUCUGUGUUUGGUUAUGGGUUUUAUGUGUGGCUUUUUCUUUGUCAUUUAUUUGAUUGUUUGAUAGAAGUAUUUGAUUUCCUAUGAACUGUGUUUUUCAAUGGGAUGUUAUUUUGAUUUUCUCGUCUUUUCAUCUGAUCUCGGUGUCUUGUCCCACUAUUAAUAAGCAUAUAAGUGGAUUUUUCAGGAUUCUCGGAAGCAAUAGAAGUGUGUGAGGAAAGUCUUCUGAGCUAAGUUUUUUUCGUAUUCCCUGUUCUUUCAUAUAUCGCAUUGUUCAAUAUAUUUGUUAUGUUUGGGUACGAUUUGUUGACUUGAUCUAUGCAUUAUUGAAUUAAGUUCGAAUAUGUUCAUUAUGUUUUGGUUUGUGCGCUUUACGUUUCAUUUUUUAUUUCUCAUUUCUUUCCUUGUGGGUGAGAAUAGUGUAAUUUCCAUUUCUUGUCUUUUCAUGUGAUCUCGGCUUCUUUGGCAAGCAUUUCUAAGCAUAUCACUGGAAUUUUCAAGUUUCUCAGAAGCACGAGAAGUUUAUGAGGAUGUACUUCUUAUCUAAGUUUACUUCGUAUUCAGUUUUUGUGUUCUAUAUCGCAAUUUUCAUUAUCUCUGUUAUGUGUUGGUAUUAUUUGUUGAUUUGUGUUAUUUUUUUUGCGCAUUUGCGUUUUGUUUUUUGUUUGUGAUUUCUUUGAUUUUGGGUGAGAAGGACUUGAUUUCCUUUUGGUAGCAUUUUGCCAUGGAAUGUUAUUGUCCUUUUCUCGUCUUUUCAUUUAAUGUCGGUUUCUUUGCCCACAAUUUAUAACCGUAUAACUUCAUUUUUUCAGGUUAAUCGGGACGAGGUGAAGUAUAUGAAGAAGUACUUUUUUGGUAAGUUUCAUUCGAAUUCUCCAAUAUCACAUCGUUCGUUAUGUUCGUUAUGUCCGUUAUGUUUGGGUAUUAUUUGUUGACUUUAUGUAAGCGUUAUGGAAUUUACUUAGAAUAUUUUGAUCUCUGUGUUUGGUUGUGGGUUUUAUGUGUGGCUUUUUAUUCGUCAUUUUUUUGAUUGUUUGAUAGAAGUAUUUGAUUUCCUGUGAACUGUGUUUUUCCAUGGGAUGUUAUUUUGAUUUUCUCGUCUUUUCAUCUGAUCUCGGUAUCUUGUCCCACCAUUAAUAAGCAUAUAGGUGGAUUUUUCAGGAUUCUCGGGAGCAAGAGAAGUGUGUGAGGAAAGUCUUCUGAGCUAAGUUUUUUUCGUAUUCCUUGUUCUUUCAUAUAUCGCAUUGUUCAAUAUAUUUAUUAUGUUUGGGUACGAUUUGUUGACUUGAUCUAUGCAUUAUUGAAUUAAGUUCGAAUAUGUUCAUUAUGUUUUGGUUUGUGCGCUUUACGUUUCAUUUUUUAUUUCUCAUUUCUUUGUUUGUGGGUGAGAAUAGUGUAAUUUCCUUUUCUGGUGUUUUCAUGUGAUCUCGGCUUCUUUGGCAAACAUUUCUAAGCAUAGCACUGGAUUUUUCAGGUUUCUCGGAAGCAAGAGAAGUUUAUGAGGAAGUACUUCUUAUCUAAGUUUACUUCGUAUUCCUUUUUGUCUUCUAUAUCGCAAUUUUCAUUAUCUCUGUUAUGUGUUGGUAUUAUUUGUUGAUUUGUGUUAUUUUUUGUGCGCAUUUGUGUUUUGUUUUUUGUUAUUGAUUUCUUUGAUUUUGGGUGAGAAGGACUCGAUUUGCUUUUGGUAGCAUUUUGCCAUGGAAUGUUAUUGUCCUUUUCUCGUGUUUUCAUUUAAUGUCGGUUUCUUUGCCCACAAUUUAUUACCGUAUAACUUCAUUUUUUCAAGUUAAUCGGGACCAAGUGAAGUGUAUGACGAAGUACUUUUUUGGUAAGUUUCAUUCGAAUUCUCCCAUAUCACAUCGUUCGUUAUGUCUGUUAUGUUUGGGUAUUAUCUUUUGACUUUAUGUAAGCGUUAUAGAAUUUACUUAGAAUAUUUUGAUUUCUGUGUUUGGUUGUGGGUUUUAUGUGUGGCUUUUUAGUUGUCAUUUAUUUGAUUCUUAGAUAGAAGUAUUUGAUUGCCUUUGAACUGUGUUUUUCCAUGGGAUGUUAUUUUGAUUUUCUCGCCUUUUCAUCUGAUCUCGGUGUCUUGUCCCACCAUUAAUAAGCAUAUAAGUGGAUUUUUCAGGAUUCUCGGGAGCAGGAGAAGUGUGUGAGGAAAGUCUUCUUAGAUAAGUUUUCUUCGUAUUCCCUGUUCUUUCAUAUAUCGCAUUGUUCAAUAUAUUUGUUAUGUUUGGUUAUGAUUUGUUGACUUGAUCUAUGCAUUAUUGAAAUAAAUUUUAAUAUGUUCAUUAUGGUUUGGUUUGUGUGCUUUACGUUUCAUUUUUUAUUUCUCAUUUCUUUGUUUGUGGGUGAGAAUAGUGUAAUUUCCUUUUCUGGUGUUUUCAUGUGAUCUCGGCUUCUUUGGCAAGCAUUUCUAAGCUUAUCACUGGAUUUUUCAGGUUUCUCGGAAGCAAGAGAAGUUUAUGAGGAAGUACUUCUUAUCUAAGUUUACUUCGUAUUCCUUUUUGUCUUCUGUAUCGCAAUUUUCAUUAUCUCUGUUAUGUGUUGGUAUUAUUUGUUGAUUUGUGUUAUUUUUUGUGCGCAUUUGUGUUUAUUUUUUUGUUUGUGAUUUCUUUGAUUUUGGGUGAGAAGGACUCGAUUUCCUUUUGGUAGCAUUUUGCCAUGGAAUGUUAUUGUCCUUUUCUCGUCUUUUCAUUUAAUGUCGGUUUCUUUGCCCACAAUUUAUAACCGUAUAACUUCAUUUUUUCAGGUUAAUCGGGACGAGGUGAAGUGUAUGAAGAAGUACUUUUUUGGUAAGUUUCAUUCGAAUUCUCCCAUAUCACAUCGUUCGUUAUGUUCGUUAUGUCCGUUAUGUUUGUGUAUUAUUUAUUGACUUUAUGUAAGCGUUAUGGAAUUUACUUAGAAUAUUUUGAUCUCUGUGUUUGGUUUUGGGUUUUAUGUGUGGCUUUUUAUUUGUCAUUUAUUUGAUUGUUUGAUAGAAGUUUUUGAUUUCCUGUGAACUGUGUUUUUCCAUGGGAUGUUAUUUUAAUUUUCUCAUCUUGUCAUCUGAUCUCAGUGUCUUUUCCCACCAUUAAUAAGCAUAUAAGUGGAUUUUUUAGGAUUCUCGGGAGCAGGUGAAGUGUCUGAGGAAAGUCUUCUGAGAAAAGUUUUCUUCGUAUUCCCUGUUCUUUCAUAUAUCGCAUUGUUCAAUAUAUUUGUUAUGUUUGGGUAUGAUUUGUUGACUUGAUCUAUGCAUUAUUGAAUUAAGUUCGAAUAUGUUCAUUAUAUUUUGGUUUGUGCGCUUUACGUUUCAUUUUUUAUUUCUCAUUUCUUUGUUUGUGGGUGAGAAUAGUGUAAUUUCCAUUUCUGGUCUUUUCAUGUGAUCUCGGCUUCUUUGGCAAGCAUUUCUAAGCAUAUCACUGGAAUUUUCAAGUUUCUCAGAAGCACGAGAAGUUUAUGAGGAUGUACUUCUUAUCUAAGUUUACUUCGUAUUCAGUUUUUGUGUUCUAUAUCGCAAUUUUCAUUAUCUCUGUUAUGUGUUGGUAUUAUUUGUUGAUUUGUGUUUUUUUUUUUGCGCAUGUGUGUUUUGUUUUUUGUUUGUGAUUUCUUUUAUUUUGGGUGAGAAGAACUCGAUUUACUGUUGGUAGCAUUUUGCCAUGGAAAUUAUUGUCAUUUUAUCGUCUUUUCAUUUAAUCUCGGUUUCUUAGCCCACAAUUUAUAACCGUAGUGUUAAAUGACAGCUUUGCUGUCCACACUUCUUUCCUUAUUUUAGCCCACAAUUGUUUCCUUAUUUCUCCAUUUAUUAUUCUGUACAGUUAGCAUAUAUUAUUUGAGAGAUUAUAGUUUACAUGUAUAGGGCUAGAAUCAUGCGGGAAUUUAUUUGCUUUUAUUUGCUUUCCAUGUAUAGCAUCCUUGUAAAGUCUAUAUAUAAUAUACAAAACUCAAGGCCAAGGUAUUCGGCCAUUCACACAAUAUUUUGACAUGGUAUCAGAGCUUGUGUUUUGAACCUAGAGUUUACACGUUUUCUAGGUUUUUCUUUGGGUUUUCUCGGAUUUAGCCCUAAGGGCUCUCGGAUUUAGCCCUAGGGGCUCUCUGAUUUAGCCCUAGGGGCUCUCUGAUUUAGCCCUAGGGGCUCUCGGAUUUAGCCCUAGGGGCUUUUUGAUUUAGCCCUAGGGGUUCUUGGACUUAGCCCUAGGGGCUCUCGGACUCUAGCCCAGCUUUUGGGUUCCUUUUUUUUUUUUUUUUUUUUCUGGUGGUUGUGACAACACAUCUGUGGUGUGAUCUUGGAGUUUUCUUUAGGUUUCUUCGCUUCUAGGCUCUUGGAGAUCUUCGAUUAUUUGGAGGUUUGUUAUCAGAUUUAGGCUAUUUGACGAUGUUUUUUUUUUUUUUUUUUUUUGUUUCCUAGGCUAUUUCUGUCUUCAUAAUGUCUGGAGAAUAUUCUAUUGUUCGUUUCAAUGGCAAAAACUAUCUUAGUUGGGAGUUUUAGUUUAAGAUGUUUGUGAAAAGUAAGAAGCAAGACUGAGUCUCUAAGUCAUCUACGGAAUCUGAGUACCGGGCGAUGUCUCUUGCUUGUUCUGAAAUCAUUUGGCUUCGAGGUUUGCUUGCAGAGUUAGAUUUUUCUGAGACCGAUCCUACACCUCUACAUGCCGAUAAUACAAGUGUUAUUCAGAUCACAGCCAAUCUUGUCUAUCAUGAGUGCACAAAGCAUAUUGAAGUGGACUGUCACUCUAUUCGUGAAGCCUUUGAAGCUUGUGUUAUCACUCUUCCACAUAUUUCCACUGACUUACAAAUUGCUGAUAUCUUCACCAAGGCUCUCCCUCGUCAUCGACAUUGCUUGCUAAGUAGCAAAUUGAUGCUUGUUGAUCAACCUGCAUCAAUUUGAGGGGGGCUGUCAAAUGACAGCUUUGCUGUCCACACUUCUUCUUUCCUUAUUUUAGCCCACAAUUGUUUCCUUAUUUCUCCAUUUAUUAUUCUGUACAGUUAGCAUAUAUUAUUUGAGAGAUUAUAGUUUACAUGUAUAGGGCUAGAAUCAUGCGGGAAUUUAUUUGCUUUUAUUUGCUUUCCAUGUAUAGCAUCCUUGUAAAGUCUAUAUAUAAUAUACAAAACUCAAGGCCAAGGUAUUCGGCCAUUCACACAAUAUUUUGACACGUAGAACUUCAUUUUUUCAGGUUAAUCGGGACCAGGUGAAGUGUAUGACGAAGUACCUUUUUGGUAAGUUUCAUUCGAAUUCUCCCAUAUCACAUCGUUCGUUAUGUCUGUUAGGUUUGGGUAUUAUCUUUUGACUUUAUGUAAGCGUUAUAGAAUUUACUUAGAAUAUUUUGAUUUCUGUGUUUGGUUGUGGGUUUUAUGUCUGGCUUUUUAGUUGUCAUUUAUUUGAUUGUUAGAUAGAAGUAUUUGAUUGCCUUUGAACUGUGUUUUUCCAUGGGAUGUUAUUUUGAUUUUCUCGCCUUUUCAUCUGAUCUCGGUGUCUUGUCCCACCAUUAAUAAGCAUAUAAGUGGAUUUUUCAGAAUUCUCGGGAGCAGGAGAAGUGUGUGAGGAAAGUCUUCUUAGAUAAGUUUUCUUCGUAUUCCCUGUUCUUUCAUAUAUCCCAUUGUUCAAUAUAUUUGUUAUGUUUGGUUAUGAUUUGUUGACUUGAUCUAUGCAUUAUUGAAAUAAAUUUUAAUAUGUUCAUUAUGGUUUGGUUUGUGUGCUUUACGUUUCAUUUUUUAUUUCUCAUUUCUUUGUUUGUGGGUGAGAAUAGUGUAAUUUCCUUUUCUGGUGUUUUCAUGUGAUCUCAGCUUCUUUGGCAAGCAUUUCUAAGCUUAUCACUGGAUUUUUCAGGUUUCUCGGAAGCAAGAGAAGUUUAUGAGGAAGUACUUCUUAUCUAAGUUUACUUCGUAUUCCUUUUUGUCUUCUAUAUCGCAAUUUUCAUUAUCUCUGUUAUGUGUUGGUAUUAUUUGUUGAUUUGUGUUAUUUUUUGUGCGCAUUUGUGUUUAUUUUUUUGUUUGUGAUUUCUUUGAUUUUGGGUGAGAAGGACUCGAUUUCCUUUUGGUAGCAUUUUGCCAUGGAAUGUUAUUGUCCUUUUCUCGUCUUUUCAUUUAAUGUCGGUUUCUUUGCCCACAAUUUAUAACCGUAUAACUUCAUUUUUUCAGGUUAAUCGGGACGAGGUGAAGUGUAUGAAGAAGUACUUUUUUGGUAAGUUUCAUUCGAAUUCUCCCAUAUCACAUCGUUCGUUAUGUCCGUUAUGUUUGGGUAUUAUUUGUUUACUUUAUGUAAGCGUUAUAGAAUUUACUUAGAAUAUUUUGAUCUCUGUGUUUGGUUGUGGGUUUUAUGUGUGGCUUUUUAUUUGUCAUUUAUUUGAUUGUUUGAUAGAAGUAUUUGAUUUCCUGUGGACUUUGUUUUUCCAUGGGAUGUUAUUUUGAUUUUCUCGUCUUUUCAUCUGAUCUCGGUGUCUUGUCCCACCAUUAAUAAGCAUGUAAAUGGAUUUUUCAGGAUUCUCGGGAGCAAUAGAAGUGUGUGAGGAAAGUCUUCUGAGCUAAGUUUUUUUCGUAUUCCCUGUUCUUUCAUAUAUCGCAUUGUUCAAUAUAUUGGUAUGUUUGGGUACUAUUUGUUGACUUGAUCUAUGCAUUAUUGAAUUAAGUUCGAAUAUGUUUAUUAUGUUUUGGUUUGUGCGUUUUACGUUUCAUUUUUUAUUUCUCAUUUCUUUCUUUGUGGGUGAGAAUAGUGUAAUUUCCAUUUCUUGUCUUUUCAUGUGAUCUCGGCUUCUUUUGCAAGCAUUUCUAAGCAUAUCACUGGAUUUUUCAGGUUUCUCGGUAGCAAGAGAAGUUUAUGAGGAAGUACUUCUUGUCUAAGUUUACUUCGUAUUCCCUUUUGUCUGCUAUAUUGCAAUUUUCAUUAUCUCUGUUAUGUGUUUGUAUUAUUUGGUUAUUUGUGUUAUUUUUUGUGCGCAUUUGUGUUUUGUUUUUUGUUUGUGAUUUCUUUGAUUUUGGGUGAGAAGAACUCGAUUUCCUGUUGGUAGCAUUUUGCCAUGGAAUGUUAUUGUCUUUUUUUCGUCUUUUCAUUUAAUGUCGGUUUCUUAGCCCACAAUUUAUAACCGUAUAACUUCAGUUUUUCAGGUUAAUCGGGACGAGGUGAAGUGUAUGAAGAAGUACUUUUUUGGUAAGUUUCAUUCGAAUUCUCCCAUAUAACAUCGUUCGUUAUGUCUGUUAUGUUUGGGUAUUAUCUUUUGACUUUAUGUAAGCGUUAUAGAAUUUACUUAGAAUAUUUUGAUUUCUGUGUUUGGUUGUGGGUUUUAUGUGUGGCUUUUUAUUUGUCAUUUAUUUGAUUGUUUGAUAAAAGUAUUUGAUUUUCUUUGAACUGUGUUUUUCCGUGGGAUGUUAUUUUUAUUUUCUGGUCUUUUCAUCUGAUAUCGGUGUCUUAUCCCACCAUUAAUAAGCAUAUAAGUGGAUUUUUCAGGAUUCUCGGGAGCAGGAGAAGUGUGUGAGGAAAGUCUUCUUAGAUAAGUUUUCUUCGUAUUCCCUGUUCUUUCAUAUAUCGCAUUGUUCAAUAUAUUUCUUAUGUUUGGGUAUGAUUUGUUGACUUGAUCUAUGCAUUAUUGAAUUAAGUUCGAAUAUGUUCAUUGUGGUUUGGUUUGUGCGCUUUACGUUUCAUUUUUUAUUUCUCAUUUCUUUCUUUGUGGGUGAGAAUAGUGUAAUUUCCAUUUCUGGUCUUUUCCUGUUAUCUCGGCUUCUUUGGCAAGCAUUUCUAAGCAUAUCAUUGGAUUUUUCAGGUUUCUCGGAAGACAGAGAAGUUUAUGAGGAACUACUUCUUAUCUAAGUUUACUUCGUAUUCCUUUUUGUCUGCUAUAUUGCAAUUUUCAUUAUCUCUGUUAUGUGUUGGUAUUAUUUGUUGAUUUGUGUUAUUUUUUGUGCGCAUUUGUGUUUUAUUUUUUGUUUGUGAUUUCUUUUUAAUUUUGGGUGAGAAGAACUCGAUUUCGUUUUGGUAGCAUUUUUCCAUGGAAUGCUAUUGUCCUUUUCUCGUCUGUUCAUUUAAUGUCGGUUUCUUUGCCCACAAUUUAUAACCGUAUAACUUCAUUUUUUCAGGUUAAUCGGGACGAGGGGAAGUGUAUGAAGAAGUACUUGUUUGGUAAGUUUCAUUCGAAUUCUCCCAUAUCACAUCGUUCGUUAUGUCUGUUAUGUUUGGGUAUUAUUUUUUGACUUUAUGUAAGCGUUAUAGAAUUUACUUAGAAUAUUUUGAUAUCUGUGAUUGGUGUUGGUUUUAUGUGUGGCUUUUUAUUUGUCAUUUAUUUGAUUGUUUGAUAGAAGUUUUUGAUUUCCUUUUAAUUGUGUUUUUCCAAGGGAUGUUAUUUUGAUUUUCUCGUCUUUUCAUCUGAUCUCGGUGUCUUGUCCCACCAUUAAUAAGCAUAUAUGUGGAUUUUUCAGGAUUCUCUGGAGCAGAAGAAGUGUUUGAGGAAAGUCUUCUUAGAUAAGUUUUCUUCGUAUUCCUUGUUCUUUCAUAUAUCGCAUUGUUCAAUAUAUUUGUUAUGUUUGGGUAUGAUUUGUACACUUCAUCUAUACAGUAUUUAAUUAAGUUCGAAUAUUUUCAUUAUGGUUUGUUUUGUGCGCUUGACAUUUCAUUUUUUAUUUCUCAUUAUAGUGUAAUUUCCAUUUCUGGUCUUUUCAUAUGAUCUCGGCUUCUUUGGCAAGCAUUUGUAAGCAUAUUACUGAAUUUUUCAGGUUUCUCGGAAGCAGGAGAAGUAUAUGCGGAAGUACUUCUUAUCUAAGUUUACUUCGUUUUCCCUUUUGUCUGCUAUAUCGCAAUUUUCAUUAUCUCUGUUAUUUGUUGGUAUUAUUUGUUGAUUUGUUUUAUUUUUUGUUCGCAUUUGUGUUUUGUUUUUUGUUUGUGAUUUCUUUGAUUUUGGGUGAGAAGAACUCGAUUUCCUUUUUGUAACAUUUUUCCAUGGAAUGUUAUUGUCCUUUUCUCGUCUUUUCAUUUAAUGUCAGUUUCUUUGCUCACAAUUUAUAAUCGUAUAACUUCAGUUUUUCAGGUUAAUCGGGACGAGGUGAAGUGUAUGAAGAAGUACUUUUUUGGUAAGUUUCAUUCGAAUUCUCCCAUAUCACAUCGUUCGUUAUGUCCGUUAUGUUUGGGUAUUAUUUUUUGACUUUAUUUAAGCGUUAUAGAAUUUACUUAGAAUAUUUUGAUUUCUUAGUUUGGUUGUGGGUUUUAUGUGUGGCUUUUUAUUUGUCAUUUAUUUGAUUGUUUGAUAGAAGUAUUUGAUUUCCUUUGAACUGUGUUUUUCCAUGGGAUGUUAUUUUGAUUUUCUCGUCUUUUCAUCUAAUAUCGGUGUCUUGUCCCACCAUUCAUAAGCAUAUAAGUGGAUUUUUCAGGAUUCUCGGGAGCAAGAAAAGUGUGUGAGGAAAGUCUUCUUAGAUAAGUUUUCUUCGUAUUCCCUGUUCUUUCAUAUAUCGCAUUGCUCAAUAUAUUUGUUAUGUUUUGGUAUGAUUUGUUGACUUGAUCUAUGCAUUAUUAUUGAAUCAAGUUAGAAUAUGUUCAUUGUGUUUUGGUUUGUGCGUUUUACGUUUCAUUUUUUAUUUCUCAUUUCUUUUUUUAUGUGUGAGAAUAGUGUAAUUUCCAUUUCUGGUCUUUUCAUAUGAUCUCGGCUUCUUUUGCAAGCAUUUCUAAUCAUAUCAUUGGAUUUUUCAGGUUUCUCGGAAGCAAGAGAAGUUUAUAAGGAAGUACUUCUUAUCUAAGUUUACUUCGUAUUCCCUUUUGUCUGCUAUAUCGCAAUUUUCAUUAUCGUUGUUAUGUGUUGGUAUUAUUUGUUGAUUUGUGUUAUUUCUUGUGCGCAUUUUUGUUUUGUUUUUUGUUUGUGAUUUAUUUGAUUUUUGGUGAGAGGAAUUCGAUUUCCUUUUGGUAGCAUUUUUCCAUGGAAUGUUAUUGUCCCUUUCUUGUCUUUUCAUUUAAUGUCGGUUUCUUUGCCCACAAUUUAUAACCGUAUAACUUCAGUUUUUCAGGUUAAUCGGGACGAGGUGAAUUGUAUGAAGAAGUACUUUUUUGGUAAGUUUCAUUUGAAUUAUCCCAUAUCACAUCAUUCGUUCUGUCUGUUAUGUUUGGGUAUUAUCUUUUGACUUUAUGUAAGCGUUAUAGAAUUUACUUAGAAUAUUUUGAUUUUUGUGUUUGGUUGUGGGUUUUAUGUGUGGCUUUUUAUUUGUCAUUUAUUUGAUUGUUUGAUACAAGUAUUUGGUUUCCUUUGAACUGUGUUUUUCCAUUGGAUGUUAUUUUGAUUUGCUCGUCUUUUCAUCUGAUAUCGGUGUCUUGUCCCACCAUUAAUAAGAAUAUAAGUGGAUAUUUCAGGAUUCUCGGUAGCAGGAGAAGUGUGUAAGGAUAGUCUUCUUAGAUAAGUUUUCUUCGUAUUCCCUGUUCUUUCAUAUAUUGCAUUGUUCAAUAUAUUUGUUAUGUUUGGGUAUGAUUUGUUGACUUGAUCUAUGCAUUAUUGAAUUAAGUUCGAAUAUGUUCAUUGUGUUUUGGUUUGUGCACUUUACGUUUCACUUUUUAUUUCUCCUUUCUUUCUUUGUGGGUGAGAAUAGUGUAAUUUCCUUUCCUGGUCUUUUCAUGUGAUCUCGACUUCUUUGGCAAGCAUUUCUAAGCAUAUCACUGGAUUUCUCAGGUUUCUCAGAAGCAAGAGAAGUUUAUGAGGAAGUACUUCUUAUCUAAGUUUAAUUCGUAUUCCCUUUUGUCUGCUAUAUCGCAAUUUUCAUUAUCUCAGUUAUGUGUUGGAUACUAUUUGUUGAUUUGUGUUAUUUUUUGUGCGCAUUUGUGUUUUGUUUUUUGUUUGUGAUUUCUUUGAUUUUGGGUGAGAAGAAAUGGAUUUCCUUUUGGUAGCAUUUUUCCAUGGAAUGUUAUUGUCCUUUUCUUGUCCUUUCAUUUAAUGUCGAUUUCUUUGCCGACAAUUUAUAACGGUAUAAAUUCAUUUUUUCAGGUUAAUCGGGAUGAGGGGAAGUGCAUGGAGAAGUACUUGUUUGGUAAGUUUCAUUCGAAUCCUCCCAUAUCACAUCGUUCGUUAUGCCUGUUAUGUUUGAAUAUUAUCUUUUGACUUUAUGUAAGCGUUAUAGAAUUUACUUAGAAUAUUUUGAUUUUUGUGUUUUGUUGUGGGUUUUAUGUAUGGCUUUUUAUUUGUCAUUUAUUUGAUUGUUUGAUAGAAGUAUUUGAUUUCCUUUGAACUGUGUUUUUCAUUGGGAUGUUAUUUUGAUUUUCUCGUCUUUUCAUCUGAUCUCGAUGUCUUGUCCCACCAUUAAUAAGCAUAUAAGUGGAUUUUUCAGGAUUCUCGGGAGCAAGAAAAGUGUGUGACGAAAGUCUUCUAAGCUAAGUUUUUUUCGUAUUCCCUGUUCUUUCAUAUAUCGCAUUGUUCAAUAUAUUCUUUAUGUUUGGGUAUGAUUUGUUGACUUGAUCUAUGCAUUAUGGAAUUAAAUUCAAAUAUGUUCAUUAUGGUUUGGUUUGUGCGCUUUACGUUUCAUUUUUUAUUUCUCAUUUCUUUUUUUGUGUGUAAGAAUAGUGUACUUUUCAUUUCUGGUCUUUUCAUGUUAUCUCGGCUUCUUUGGCAAGCAUUUCUAAGCAUAUCACUGGAUUUUUCAGGUUUCUCGAAAGCAAGAGAGGUUUAUGAGGAAGUACUUCUUAUCUAAGUUUACUUCGUAUUCCCUUUUGUCUGCUAUAUCGCAAUUUUCUU
rnacentral:lncRNA from 1 species